AGGCCUCAAGUGAUGUGUGACGACCCCCUGAUUU
rnacentral:rRNA from 2 species